rnacentral:tmRNA from 1 species
GGGGAUGCCUUGGUUUCGACUGGGGUGGAUGACUUUAGUUUGCAGCCAGACAUUGAGGAGAUGUCUUUAAAAAGCCUCAAACCUAUAAAUGCCAACUCUAACGUUGCAUCUGCCUACGCCCUAGCGGCGUGAUGGCCGGGCGGCAACUGCCUAGGAACAGAAAGUUGCGAAUGUUUGGCCCGGUGGGGAUAAACACAUGCAUUACCUGCUUGACACAUGGCUGUGUAUAGACUACUGUUUGAAGCAUCAGGACGCGGGUUCGACUCCCGCCAUCUCCACUU